rnacentral:rRNA from 1 species
AGAGCGAACGCUGGCGGCAGGCUUAACACAUGCAAGUCGAGCGGGCGUAGCAAUACGUCAGCGGCAGACGGGUGAGUAACGCGUGGGAACGUACCUUUUGGUUCGGAACAACCCAGGGAAACUUGGGCUAAUACCGGAUAAGCCCUUACGGGGAAAGAUUUAUCGCCGAAAGAUCGGCCCGCGUCUGAUUAGCUAGUUGGUGAGGUAAUGGCUCACCAAGGCGACGAUCAGUAGCUGGUCUGAGAGGAUGAUCAGCCACAUUGGGACUGAGACACGGCCCAAACUCCUACGGGAGGCAGCAGUGGGGAAUAUUGGACAAUGGGCGCAAGCCUGAUCCAGCCAUGCCGCGUGAGUGAUGAAGGCCCUAGGGUUGUAAAGCUCUUUUGUGCGGGAAGAUAAUGACGGUACCGCAAGAAUAACGCCCCGGCUAACUUCGCGCCAGCAGCCGC